UUCGGGGUCCUCCGCACUAGUUUGCUGGAUGGACCCCAUGCGCAUGGAAAUAAAGCCUUUUUGCCCCCUUAGAGACGUGGGUCCUUGAGGUCUUCUUCCCUGUGACACCGGCCUUACAAGUUCUUCCCUGUCUUCUUCAGAAGAAAACACAAAUCAUGCCUUUUUGAGAAGCCUGAUAUCCGUGAAACUCAUGAUUUGGUUUUCUCUAUAGAGCCUUGAAAAUACAGGUGUCUGAAUGCAAAUGAAAUCACCCAGUUUUUCUCGAGCUGUGGAUGAUCCUCAGAAAGCUGCUCCUGAGCCAAUCCCCAUGUGAAUUUCACAGAUUGCGUAGUUGAACUGAGAACAUGAUCGGAACAUCCAGGAACUUCAGAUCAUUAGUCAUUUCACAGGGGGAAGCAGAUGGCUUCCCUAGAAGCGGGAGUUUUCACCUCCCACAGAAUUUGGACACCAUUAUACAAGAAGGCCUGACUGUUUAGAGAAGCAUGGGUAACUUUUAUCCCAAAUCUGAAGUUUGCCUUUGUCUUCACCUUUCUCUCAUGGUAUAUGCAUACAUAAAUAAAACAUUUUCCAUCUGCAGAAAGGUCUGCUAAAAUAAAACUAUUACAUUAUUCUGAAUUUAUCAUCAGGGAUCCUUUUCUGAUAAGUGUGCAAUGGGAUACAAAUAAUUAAAUAUGCAUUGUUGUCAGGGAAUACUCUACAGAAAUAUAGUGUGUGCUCUAUUACUAUACUGUACAAAAUAGCUUUGUUAUCCUCAGCAUUAUUGAUAUUUGCAAUUCAAUAAUUAUUUCUUGUAAGGGACAGUCUGGUGCAAUGUCGAAUGCUUGCUGCAAUACUGACUUCUCCAACAGAUAAUAGCAAUAAUACCCAUCUCAACUGUGGCAAUUAAAUUUGCCUCUAGACAUUCCCAAAUAUUCAAUGAGUUAAUAAUUAAUAAUAUACAUAUAUAAGACUAUCAGUAAGAAAAAGGACAUAUUUGUUAUAUUCAGUAAAGAUCAACAGAGAAAGUAGAUAGAUGUAAGCCCACCUUCACUUUUAUAUAAGUAUGACUUGGUAUUUAUUUCACAAUUAUUUCAUCUGCUUCUGUAGGUAAGACAAUGAGGAGAUAAAAAAUCUUCAGCAUUUUUCUCCCUGUAUGAACAUGAUGCAUAAUCUGAGUUAUUCAGGAACAGAGAAAGGUAGGAUCACAAGCCCAAGACUGUCAUGGACAACUUAGAGAGACCCCGUCUCAAUAUAAAAGAAUAGAAAAGGACUGAAUAUGUAUGUAGCUCAGUAUCAAGUCCUUAGAUUCCUAAUCUCCCAAACAAGUGUACAGCAAAGUAUAUAUGGUAUGGUGUGCUUUGGUAUGAUUUUAGGGCUCCAGGAGUGUCAAAACCUUUUAGCUGAGUUCAAGACUCUGAGGGCUAAGACUCAAAGACUUCUCUGCACUGCCCAUAUUUAUUAGAUUCAAAACAAAGGCAAGGAAACUGAAGAAAGCAUGGGAAAUGAGCAGGGUCUUGGGAGCCACUUCAAAGACUCCUCUAAGUAGUAAAUUAUGUCAAUAUAGAAGAACCAUCUUAUUUCCAGGAUGACAUUUAUGACAGGAGUGCGACUGCCAGAGUGAGAUUCCUUUAACUGCAGUCUCUAAUUAUUUAACUAGUUUUGGAGCCAAGGAGUCCUCAGCUGUGGCCUUAUCUUGCCCUUUGAGGUAUCUCUGAUCUCACAGGCCACUAUAGGCCUCAGCCAGGGCCAGUGAUUCAUUGAAGUUCACUUAUUAUGAAUCAGCUCCCAUCACCAGGAAAGGGGCUGAGCCCUAGGACAGACUCACAGAUAAACGUAAAAGCCAAUUAGUUUUAAGUGGCUCAGAGCCACUUCAUAGUCAUCUUCAACAGCUCAGCAUUAAAUUGUUUACCUAGCAUGCAUGAGUCUAUGGAUACAAUCUCCAUUAACAUAUACAUACACAUGUGGACACUCCCACAGUUGCACAUACACAAGCAGAUAAACGCAACCCUUACAUAUCACUAUAAUCUCAUCCUGUUUUGGAGUAAAACACUAUCAAUCAAACAGUAUAGAAAAAACAGUUGCUGAAUUUUAAAAGUACCAUGAGUUUGGGAUCUUAUAGUAAUAGAUAUGAUGUAAGGAAAUGGAUUACCUAAUUUUAAUUCUUAUAUUAUUAAUACAUGAUAUUGGAAAAUGUCUGUCACCUUUAUUAUUUGCAGCACUACUUUAAUAAUAUGUCACCAAUUUGAUGGAAUAAAUAACAGAAAUGUGUUUACUCUCAGUAGAUGAUCGAGAACAAGGUAUUGGCAGAGUUGUUUUCCUCUGAGUCUCUCUUCUGGGUUUGUAGAUGGCCAUCUUUUCCCUUUGUCUUCAUAUUGCCUUUCACUGUGUCUCUGCUAUAAUAUCCUUUUCUUAUUAAGACAUCAGUCAUUCGUAUUAUCUUAGUGACCUCACUGUAAUUAAUUUCUGGGCUAACAAUCCUAUCUCCAAAUAUAGUUAUAUUCUGAGAUGAAGAGAUAUAGAACUUCAACAUAUGAAUUUGGGAGGUACUCUAGUUUGGUUGAUAAUGUUACUGGUCCAAGUCUUCAUUUCCUUGCCUGUAACAUGAAGAAACAUAAUACAUACUUCACAGUAAAUUACCAUAUAGACUGAUAGGUAAUUAAUCAAUUUAUUACUUGCUUAUCCAUCUAUCUAGUUUUAUUAAAUGAACCAGUGUCCAAAACAUAACAAGUGUAUAGCAAAGUAACUAUUAUAAUUGUUAUAAUUUUACUUUAUUCUCAGUUAAGAAACAAUGAUGAAUUAGCUCAGUGGCAUAAGUGCCUGCCUUGCAAGCACAUGGUCAUGAGUUAAAUCCCCAGUACCAAAAAAAAAAAAAAAAAAAAAAAAAAAAUGAUGAGCAAAAGCACUUGUCUUCAACAAUGGAUGAAACUGGAAAAAAAGAUGAUAGAGGGAAAGGAGAUGCAGAUAAAGAGUGAUAUAGGAGAAAACAUAACUCCUAAACUGUUAGAUGUCAAAUGUACAGAGUUUGUGUUCCCUGAAAUCAGUUUCAAAGAACAAGGUGGUUAAAAGUAGGAAAGGGUUAUUGGGGAAUAAGAAUAGCUACUAACAGAUGAGUGGGGAGCUAGGGUUGCCAUGGAAGCCCUGUGUCUGGGGUAAUUUACAUAGCAAAGUCACAAUGUGGUUGCAUGUGUGUCAAACUGCAAUCACCUAUAAGAUUACAAAUAUAGCUGCCUAGUUAAUAUUGAUCCAAUAGGAAAACAGGUCACAAAGCAAGGGUACAUGGUGGGAAAAAAAGGUAUUUGGGGGAGGGAUAGAUCCAAAGGUUCUGGUAACAUGGGUGACAGAUAUCUGUCUGAACCUUUUUAAGCAGAUGAUACUUAUAGUAUAAUUCCAAGUACUACUUAUCCAUUAGGGAAGGUAUGUGGGUCGCUGCAUACUUAUUUAUCUAUUGAUUUUAUUAUUUUAUUUUUUGUCUUUUUGAGACAUUAUGGAGUUCAGAUUGGCCUUGAACUCACUUUGUACCCCAGACUGGCCUUGAAUUCAUAGUGGUCCUCCAGUCUUGGCCUCCCUGAUUGGUCUUCUUCAGAUGUGUCACCAGCCACAAUUCUGAUGUCUUUAUUUUUUUACUGCUGACUUUCUUGAGAACCUAGCCCCUCUCGGACUGUUAAUUAAUUUCUAUCUAAUUUAGAUGCCUCUAAUAAGGAGUUUUCAAUCUCAGGAGGACAAAAAUAAAAGCAGAGGUAUGUAAUGCCAGUGACUAACAUUUUCUUGACUCUACUAUUAAUUUUUUUUUUUUAUUUACCAAGAGUUCUUAAGAGAAUUCCUAGUCUCAAUUGGUAGUUGAUUGCAUAAAAAUUCUUCUUAUACAUAAAGAGUUUUUAGGCCAUUUUCUUGUAUGUCUAGUCCUAGGAAAUGGAGCCAUGGUAACUUUGCAUUUCACUGUAAUAUGGCAAGAACCAUUAACUGAAUAUGUGAGCAAACAAGACCGUACAUGAUAGAAGCGUACUUCUUGGGGAAUUUUCUGUUCUUCAGAAGGAGUCAAAUGUUUCUCUGAUCCUCAGUGACUCCGAACAUAGAAAUGUCAGAAGUGGAGAUAAGUAGGCAAGGCAGGAGGAAGCAUUCACUCUGGGGAGAGAAUAAGAUGCGCUGUUGCACACAGAAUUUGUGCUGUUGGAACUCAAUCCUUGCCCCAAUCUCAAAGAAACUGAAAUUAUGUAGCUGCUGAAAAGCUGCAGGAAUGUCAGUCUGCUUCUCACUCUUGGCCUCUUUGUUGAUUGUUAGGAAAGAUGAAAAAGAGAAACAGGUAAGGGCCCGACAGGACAGGUUUAUUGCAUAACAAACCCGAGAGGGACUGCUCAAGGUCUAGAGACCUGACCAGCUGCUCUCCCUUGGGCAACAGGGUCUUUUGCAGGGUAACAGAUAGGAAGGAGUUCAGUGGAAGCACUUUGGGGCUAUUUUCCAGGAGCAAGGCUUGAGAGGACACAAGCAAUAAUGGUUGUCUAAGGACAAGGCUUGGGGAACUGUGAGCACUGUCAAUAAGAGGGCUAGUCCUGUUAGGAGCUCCGGGUGCAGCUGUGCUGGGAGGGAGCCUUUGGGGGGUCUCUAAUGAGCAAGGCAGUGGUGUGGCAUUGCUGGCAGUAGGGUGGCAUAAAAAUAUUUACGUAAGGAAGUCUUUAGUAGUUGAUUGUAUAUAACCCUGACAUUUCAUGUUUUCAUACCAAUAACACAUAUUCUGUACUUGACAAAUUUAAUACUAAAUGAAAUGAAAAUAUGUAAAUCAAUGUCUGGAAUUCAUACCAACAGAAAUUUUAUGUUUGUGUGUUAAUAGCUUGUUCAUUAGUUCUUAGAAUGCAAGGCAUAUUUUUAUGGAUUAAAAAUCAAAUUUCACAGUGACAUUUCACAACUAGAGGGCAAGAAAUAUUAUUUGCUCUACUACACCAAAAGCACCUUGAAAUUCAGAUUUUUUUUAAGUCACAUUUUGUUGUCCCCCAAACUUCUGUGCUUCUGUAAUGUCGGUUGAUGUCGAUUGCAUUAAUGAAAAAUCUAUGUAAGAAUCCUUCAAUCGAGACAAGUCUAAUUUUGAAUUGCAAUCAUUAACUGGGUAUACUUUUGUUAACUUCCCUGAUUUUAAUUUACGUUUUUUUUUUCUACAGAAAAAGAAUAUAAUAUUUGGUUUUAAAUUUUAUAGUUUUUUAAAAUAUUCAAUAAAUUAGUUAGUUAAGAGUAUCUGGUAAAACAUGUUCAAGAUUUAAAAAAAAAAACAUAUUCAACGUAGGCACAAGAUAUGUGUUUCCCCCAACUUAACCUCAUCAGAGAAAUAUAAAUCGCUGUCUAAGGACAUGUAGGAAUAGAAUGAAAUGCAUUUUCACAUAAACAAGUCUCUGAUAAUUUAUUAUAACUUAAGGACAAGUUUUUUUAUGGAAAUACAUUUCAAAUUAUAAUUUGACUUCGUAUAGCCCAAGAACACUAAACACAUCAUAAACCACAAAAACAAAUACUUACAAAGACAGAUGCACAAAGCAUUUUCAUCAGGACUGCAUUUCCCCCAGGGAACCCACCUAACCUGGGAAGGUUUUUAUUCAUUUAUAAAAUAAUAUAAAAUAUGUGAAUUUUCUCCUGAAGGUAUCAGAGAAAACAUUUCCAAAAUGCCUCACUGGAAGAAAUAGAAUCUUGUCCUUUGGUGUUUUCUGUGUACAUAUUAUAUGGUGAUAAAGCCAGGUUAGCAGAGACACAGACACACUGUGUGAAAUACAAAGAACUCUGAGUACCAUAAAGUAAGUCUCAAAAUAACUGCAACAAACCAAUUCUAAGUUUCAUUCCAUCGUUCCUCAGGAUUCCCUUGCAUUUCUUCAUUCCUUGAUAAUUCAUCCACUUUCCCAUCCACUGCAUGAGCGUCUGACUGCUAUAAUAACUAUCGCUAUACCAAAAUGAACUAAAAUUCAAUUUAUUUUGCUUACCUAUCUGGAUGUCUUUUCUAUUAUAUACUUAAAAAUUCUCUUUUCAUGACACAGCAUGAUCCAUUUUCAUUGCCGUUCUUUCUCCUGUUUUAAAUAACAGUUUAAUAAUGUCUGCUAGAUUUUGGAAAAUCUCUCGGAUCACUCUCUUGGCCAUCUUUCCCUCAUGUCUACAAUUUAGUAACUGAACAUUGGCAUGGUAACCAUUUCUAUGUUAAUUUCACUGUCUAUAUUCUUAUUAUUUGACAACCAGAAGUGAUUACAAUUAUACUUUAUAUUUGCACAGCACAGAAAAUUAGACUCAAAGUCAAGCAAAUUGUUAUCAAAUGCACAGUGGAUAAGAGAAGGAGUGCCUGAGUCUAAUGCGGCCAAUUCUGCAGUUUCUAGUACAGUAGAGGAAUAAAAAGAAUAAAGUGAAGGCAGAAGACUAGAACAUAUAACUGGAUUCAAAAACUUAACUUUUGGCAGAUGAUGAUGUUGGGUUCUGUUGAGAAUGAUGAAGAAAAAAAUUCCUUUAAAUCCCCAUUGUUUAAAAUCUGUAUUAAAGCUGCAUGGCCACAGCAAUCUUCCUUUUAAUUUACAUUUAUUUAGGGCCAUCUCAAAGGACUUUGAAGUGAAAAUAAAUUCUCUAAAAUUAAGCUGAGACAGGAUAUUGAAAUAUAAAUGAAGACACAUUGGAAAAGAAAUGGAAGCACAAAAUUGAUUUGUGCAGCUCAGACUUUGAGUUGCCUUCUUUAAUUGUUCUGUCUAUUCUUGUUUUUCAUGGUAUGCCCUGCGCAGAAAGCUUUUCAGAAUCUGCCAUUUACAGAGAUGGCACUUUUAGUAGAUAUCUGUUCAUUUCAGAGUAAUGUGUGUUCAAAAAGCAAACCUCGAGGAAAAAAAUUCUAAAAGUAUGAACAAAAAUAAUGAAGACAACUCAUCCUGAUGGAGAGCUAAUGAGACAAGACUAUUCAAUAUCAGGAUAAGGAAUCAAAAUGAAGGCUGUCGAUGGCUUUCUUUGACUUUUUGUGUGAGGAAUCAAGUCCCACACAGGUAAAGGAAGCCUUAGGUGAAAAGAGACCCUAACAAAUAAGAAUUGAAAAAUGUGAGAGCAGAAUGAUGGAGCCAUUUACCAGGCUGGCCAGGUAAAUUCUGUAGAAAUUGCAAGUGUAAGCAUGCUGCUUCAAAGUUACAUUUGUCUACUAGAAUACCACCGCAACAUGCAACUGAAGCCUUCAGCAUUUUUGCUGGCAUAUUUUAUCAUGAACACAUUGUCCAUCCCUCUUGACUCAGCUCAAACAUACUUUUAUACUUCACGUGGAAGAAACAUUGGUCAGCAAAUUUCCUAAGUAAAUAUUUUUUUUAUUUUUUAUGAUUUUUCACAUGCUCUUGUCUUUCUUCAAUUUAUGAUCCUCUGUCUCUGUCUCUGUCUGUCUGUCUCCAUCUCUCUCUCUUUCAAAGUUACACAAUAUUGCUCUAUUUUCCCUGUAUACUGAACCCUUCCUCAGAUGCCUUCAGUUAGAUUUGAGGACAGUUAUGCAAUACUAAGGCACUGCGUAUUAGUUUCCAAAAUAGCACAGAUGGUGUUAGACUUCAUCUGAGUGAAAUGGGGCUGUACUUUAUAUCCAUAAUUUUUAUACCAUAGAAAAUUUUGUAUUCUCUUUGAAAGACGUUCCUGCUUGUAUGUUCAUCAAGUCAGUUUACUGCUAACCAUCACUGGUACAUUAAAUCUCUCUUUUUCCUGUAACGAACAUCACUAAUCUACCCUGCAUACUUCUAUUGUAUAGGUGCUUUGAUUCUUUCAAGAUUUAGACCUCAAGACAGGAUUAUCAUUCCAUCAUAAAUUAUCUGCUAGUGAAAGCUAAACCAUUAUUUUUAAAUAACUAACAUAUUCAAUACGUUUUAUGUUAUAUUUAAAACAGGUCAUAGUUAGUCUAGAAUACUGUUGAUCAUUCUGUCAUCUAAUCAAAAUUUAAUCAACAAAUAUUACCUGCAGCUCUUUUUGACAUGUCUUUUUCUUGUGCAAAGCAUACUGAAACUUUAAAAAGUUGUUCUUUAAGCACACCCUCCAUCAGCUGCAACGUGGAAACUUGCAAAUAUUUGAAAACUUUAAAUUGACUAGUUACUAGCAACAUAAAAUUUUCCAAAAACAGUGGAAAGGCCAUAAUAUUUUCAGAACACAAAGAAUUCAAUUCAAUGGCCAACUUCUUCACUCAGGAAAUAUAUGUGUGCCUUUAAAAUCUUAGUAUACUCCUAAGCAUUGAUCAAAAUUCUUGUGAAGACUUUGCUUAUAAAUAAAAAUGUUUCCCGUGAGGCCUGUAUAUGAAUCCAUAAGAAAGAUUCCUCUUCUUAUGGUCAGUCUUAAUGAGGUAUUGCAAUGUCUUCUCUCCACAUGUCUUUUGCUGUUUCCACUCUGGGGGAGGUUUUGUACAUCAGUCCAGGCCUGUCCUAGUUUAUGGUGGAUAAUAUCCACCAAAUAGCUAAGAAAUUCAUCUGUGCUCAAAUAAUGACCACCAAUAAAAGCCCUUCAGAGAACUGAUUUGCACUAUAAUGUAGGUCCAUUGCUUGUACUAAUCAGUGAACCAAUGAUUCUUGUAAUUCCCUCUGGUGCUUUUAAGGCAGGGAAAAAAAGAUUACAUUCAGUACAGAUGAGGUGCAAAAUAUCCUGGAUGCUAUAGCUAUGUCUUGCCCAAAAUGAAGAGCCACGUAUUUUUUCUUUAAAAAGCCUGAUAGUAUUUUUAAAAAUCUGACUUAAUAACAUUUCUUAUAUCUGUUGAAUAAUAUUAUUAGAUAAUUAUUCAACCUGGCUUGCUUAUUUUUAAACUAAAACACUAUGCAUAAUAAUUUUAUAAGUAAUAAUGGCAUAGAGUUAAUUAUACAUUUUUGAAAAUUUAAGCUAUUGAAUUACAUAUGUGCCUAAGGAGCUUCAAUGUGGUUUUUGAAGUUAUUCAGAGAUUUAAUUCUUAUGAUUAUUUUUUCCAGGCAUGGGUUCUCUAAUACUGCUUUGUUAUGCAGUAGUUAGAAUGCACAUUCUUUUCCUUAGAAGGAUAUAUAGCUACUGGAUGGUUAUACAAAGAUACACAACUCAAAAUGUAAUGUAAGUGUGUUCUUUAUUCCUCUCAUUGGAUCCUCAGUGGAACCACUUACACUGCAACUCCAAAGAACUUUAUGGAUUCUCUGGUGCCAGAACUGCCUCUCCUAUAUCUUAUCAGUCUUCCUGUUCCAUCUCCAAUCUGCCUUUGUGUUCUCCUCUCUUUACUGCCUUGGGUUUUAUUUUAGGUCAGUUAGAAUUGAGGCUGCAUUUGUACUUAGUGAACCUGAAAUAACUCCACAUUUUCCUGAUUCCUCUGUAAUUACUUCUUUGUAAGAAAAGUAAUUUAUUUUGCUAACAUUAGGCACUUCACAUGACAUUAACCUGGUACACACAUUACUAUAAUUCAAGAUGGGUAUGAUUCCAAAAUUGUGAUAGAAAACUAUACUAGGGAUAAAUCCCUCAGACAAGGAUAAAAAACUCAACCAAGAAGUUUAAUAAUAUUGAUGAUUUUUGGUAUAUUUAUGUUAAAAAUGCCUAAAAAUGAUCGUUUACUUCUAACAUCAAACUUAGUAUAUUAAUCUAUGAUUAAAAUGUUGUUAAUAAUAUAGCAAUACUUAAAGUUACCAAGGUAACUUAAUAUAUUAGUUGCUAAAACUGUCAAUUUAUAAGUAGCUGGUACUUAAUGGGCAUCUCCUAAGCCUUCUAGCACAUAAAUAAUUAUGACUAAAUAUCAAAACUUGAGCGUAAAGAGUAAACACUGAUUCAGAGCACCCUUGCCUAGAUUUUCCCUCCCCAUUCAUGAGAUUUUUUUUUCCCCUCAGUAGUCAAGAGAGAAAAAAAAAAAGGUAGAUAUUUGCAAACUUGGCCAGGGAAGUUUGAAGCAAUAAUUUUUCUGCGACACAAUAUGGUCACAUAUGAUUAGGUAUUAAAAACUGGUGGUCAGCUUAACACCAGCUGAGCAAAGAUGUUCCACCUGAGGCAAGCUUCCAGCAAAAACAGAGAUGUGGAGAAGCAGAGGUAGGGAGAAGAAGUUAUGGGUUCUCCUACGUGUUGUUGUUUGAGACGUUGGUUCUCCAGAAGGACCUGCACACGACCAGCUUCUCCAGCGUGAGUUCAACCAUUAUUAUGGAGGAGCUCGUGACUUUGUUGGUGAGAGUGGCUGUGGUUCACUUUGGGGGAGCUCUGGUCCCUACAUCAAACAUUGCUUCCUGGCUCUGGAGGGGAAGACGUGUGCUGUUUAAUCUCAGCAGAAACUAGUUAUGUUGGCUUUCUGGCAUCUACUCUACUGUUCUCAUCUGAGGAGCUUGAGACCUCCGUAUCUCUGAGGGUGACUGUGGUACUUUUCAGGGCAGCCCUCAACCUACCAGCACAGCUCCUUAACCCUGCUGGCAUAGACUUUCUAUCUUCCUCUGCUCACCCUCAGACCUUCACAGAACAGAUCCAUAAAAGAGACUGGCAUGAAUCCUUCUUGUGGGCUGUAGACUUCCAGUUGGACUUGUGGGAGGCAUUGUCAUGGGCUCUAGGUCUUCAUCUAGACUCCUGCAGGAUAUUGCUGUGGGACCCAGACACUUAGCUAAUUAUUCUGUCUUUAGUGUUGUUAACUUUUUUAUGUUAACUCUCGAUAAACAGCAUAAAAUAAUAUUAUAAAUUCUGUGUCCUGAUUCUAAUUGUUCUCCUCUCAACUGCUGACCACAGCAAGAGACACAGUGUUUCAAUUUAGUUCAACAGAGUUGUUAAGUGAAGUCAUCCAAGUGCUGAAUUCAGUUAAUAUAAUAACUUUACAAGAUUCUUAUUAGAAAAAGGCAUAAAUAAAUCAUUGAUGAACCAUUUACUAAGUACAGAGAUAUCUCCCUUUUUAAUGGGGAAGAGAAUAGAGAAAGUCAUACACUUUGUCUACCUGUGUAAGAGAGACUAUCUUAAAAAUACCGUAACAAAUUCAUUCUUAGUUUUAAAAGUCUGUGUAUAAGUCUUCUGGGUAUUAAUAGUAGUAGAAAGUGAGGGCAUUUUCUAUUUAAUGACAAUGGCAAGAACAGAUUCCAUGGUAAAAAUAUGAGACACAUAAACUUGUGUUCUGAGGAUUCUAAGUUGCUUGAAAAUGAAGAAUCACAUGCAUAGUAUGCAGAGCACUAGGAAAUGUAUUAAACAAUAAAAAGAUGGCAACAAAAGAAAGAAGUUGAAAAUUAGGUGUCUUAGCAAUAUGAACACUUGCAUUUCUUCGUUAGAUUUUUAUUUCAGUGCUGAGUAGUAUUUGCCAAAGUAACAACUGAUAAAAGGAAUUCUCCAUGGGGAGAUAAAAUAAUGGGAGUGCUCUGAUUAGUGUUUGGUGCAGAUGGCUACAUCUCCCUUUGAAAACCCCAUUGACUCCCUCCCACUCUGAUAUGCAAAAACUUCCACUGCCUCAGGGGUAUUGCUUCAAAUCUACUAGGUUCUGCCAGGCACAGUUUUAGACAAAAUCUGUGGAGCAAAACCACAUUCAGAAGCGGAAUGUGGAUACUAAAGGGUGAAACUGGAAGGUUCUGAAUGCAGUUAUUUUAUGAAAGAAACAGUAGGAAUAUUAAUGGUUAUUUAAAUAAAAUCAGUAGUGUAAGGAAUAGAAAGAAUAUGCAUGGGAUUUGUGCAUUUUGUCUUCUUUUGGGAGAAAUUUACACAGUGGUGGACAAUAACUGAAUGGAAGAAUCUACAUUACUUUUGAGAUUUUGGGCUGAGGCACAAGUAGUUCUGUUCAGAUAUUUGCUUGCUCUAAGAGAGAGGCAUUUUUGUUAUUUUUUCAACACAAAAUUAAAAAUUCUCUUUUCUAAAUGCAUGCAAAUUUGCAUAUCAAUGCAUUUUAUUCUAUUUUCUUGGGAUACAUAAGGUUCCUUCUUAUUGAGCAGGCACAGUUUUUUACCACAGACACUGAAGCAUGUGCCAGGAAGCAUUUGCGCUUUUAAUGUUCUUUCAGUGGAAAUAUACUUAGUCAUAAUUAAAUUCAGUUGAAUGGCUUUUAAAAGAAGUUAGUUGUUAAUAUGAUUGGCAGUUUCCUGUGCCUUUGACAACAUCUAAUGAAAAAUGCCUGGGUGGUGCACAACACAGACAAAUGAGGGGGUUUAUCUUCUAUGAUCUCUAGCUAAUGUAGUGUGAUUAUGCCGAAUCCUGUAUUUUCAGAAGGCGUGUUAUUACUUCCCAUUAUCUAAAUAAGAAUGAUAAAUGUUCGUGAUUUUCACCAAAUAUAAACAAAGCUUCAAGUUAGUGCAUGAAUACUUAUUUACUUUAAAAUGAAUACUGAUUUGUAGGGGCAAAUAUACUGAAAGAAAAGUCUCUUAUUUUUCUUUAAAAGAAAUAUUAGAUCAUUGUGUAUUAGAAGUUUCAAAUUUAUGGAGAUAAGCAAGGAGAAUGAGAAAGAAAUCAAUUUUGAGUCAACAUCUAGUGUUUGCUUGCUACUGCUAGAUAACUGCCUAUGUGUUUGGUGAUUGUUAUCUUUCUGGUUUUCUUCUGGUAAGUGGUCUGAGGAUCUGGGAAUAACUUGUUUUCUAUUGGUCAUCAAAGAAAAUACAAAUAUGUGAAUAUUUUUAAAUAAACUUGACACAAGUUUACAAAUGAUUCUCUGUUGUUAACAGGAUUAUUAGUGAAUUAGAAAUAUUGGUUUAAAAUAUUAUUGUAAAUAGCUUUUUUAUAUUCUCUACAGUUUUGAUCACUUUUGCUCUAACUCAUCUAAUAUUUCUUUCUGAAAUCCAAAUUUCCAUGUUUUUGCCUUCUUUUCUUUUCUCUGCUGAUCUCAGUUUACACAGUCAGGACAGGUUGCCUGCUGAUCUGUGGCAAGAAAGUUGAUGAAGAAAUUCUUGAAACUAAAAACAAAGCUCUCCAACAUGAUGGGUUAAAAUAAGGGGCAGUCAUCAAUUAUGGAAAUUGUGUCAUGGCUACUCAUAUAACAUGAACAUAAAUCCUGACCCAGCUUUUUUGUAUGCUUUAUUCUAACUAGGGCUUAGAUAAGACAGGAUUUGGAGGACAAGGUCAAGUGGCUAUGUUUCUCUUGUCAUAAUGAACACUAACAUAGAUAAUGAUUUAUUCACCCAUUGUAAACAGUCAUUUAGCAAAACAAAAUCUAGUCCAAAAUACCUAAAGUCUUCUCUAUGGGUGACCCUCUUUUACUGCUGGGACAAAAUAUCUAACAUCCACAACUUGAAGGAGGAAGCGUUUAUUCUGGCUCACAGUUUACAUCAUGGUCAGCUAGUUCCCAGGCAUAAAUGGCAUGGGGAGGACUGGAUAUAGGCCAACUGCUUAUCUCAGGGCAACCAGGAAGUGGGAAUAGAAAGGAGGAGCUGGGGAAAACGAUGCACCAUUCCAAGACAUAUUGCAGUCACCUGCUUUGUCUGACCAGGUCACACCUCCAACAGUACCUUCAACAUCCACAUGAUUAGCUCUGAAAGAUACACUUUGAUGCUGGAGAUUUACCUCAAUGUCUUAACUGUCAGACUGGCAAGCACUGGGUCAUGAGUUUGACCCCUUUACAAAAACAAGACAAAACAAAAAUUCAUACUUAUGAAAGUCCCAUUUUAGAAUGCAUGAGGUUUUGGGGGAGUCAUAUUAGGUUUAAACUAUAAUGGAUAACUGCAUCCAAAAAUGUCAUUAGAGCCAUGAGGUAGGAAUCUUAUUACCUCUGUUUCAAUGUUUCAUUCCCAAAGCAGGAAUUUUCAUAUCAAAGAAAAAUGUGAAUUCUUGAGUGAGACCUAGUUUCUAGCUACAUGAUUUUCUGCAAAUUUUCUUCCUAAAUUUUCUGAUUGCCUUGUUACCGUGUGUGUGUGUGUGUGUGUGUGUGUGUGUGUGUGUGUGUGAAAUAGAGAUGGUAUUGAAUAUAUACAAUAUUUCUGGAUGGCUUUUAUGAAGUUUAAACGGCAAUAUUAUUCAAAAUUUUAGAAGACUACUUGUUACAAAUAUGAAAGUAUUUUUACUUCUGUUUUUCAUUUCAAUUACUCAGUAUAAAGAUUGUCCUCAGUAUUCUGCAGAACAUGGGUUAUAUAGAGCACCAUACGAAUAUUUUUAUAAUUAUUUAUGAUAAUUGUAUUCAUGUAAUUUAGUUAUUUGAUCUUAGCCCCCUAUUAUUGGGGUCAUGACUAUUUUUGGUAUUUUUGUCUCAUAUAUGUAGCAAAUUUGUUACAUGAUAGCAAAUGUCUAAAAAAGAUUGUCAUAUUGGUAUCAAUAAACAAAUUGCAUAAUAAGUCAUGGAAGACACAGAAUAAGAGACAGAAGAAAAAACUGGAAGGCAAUGAAAAUGAAGUUAAAAGACCACAGAAAUGUCAAUCAACAAUAAAUAUGUUUUAAAUUAUUGGGUCUGAUGAGAAUGAGCAUUUCAGAGACUUACAUUCUAGCUUCAGGUUAGAUUGGUAAUAAUUUUAUGAUAAGACAAAUCUCCUACCAUCUAAAACUCUAUUCUGACCUCUGAAAGUACAGAGAUUUAGCUUUGACUUUUGAGAAUCAAGUAACAAAGUAGGUAUAAAUAUUCUUUGUAAAUUGUCAAAUGAAUAAAAUCAUUUUUGUUUCACUAUUUCAAUUUAAUCAAGAUACUAAAACUUUGUCAAGUUGAAGUUGAAGACACAAAGUCAGAGGGACAGUUUGGGACAAUUUUUGUGUGUAACAUUUUGUAGUUUUUAACUUAUUACUACUAGCAGACUGAAAUUCAUCUCAUGGAAUGCCAUUCAAUAGAAUGCAUCAUUUAAAAGUGACAGUUCAACAAAUUUAGGAAUAUGUAGUGUUCAGCUAUGAAAUUUUGAUUUAUUAACACUAUGUCUUCAUUUUUAUUUCUUUAAUGGGGAAUCUUUGCCUCAGUCAGGGAAACAAAUGAAAACAAAAAGAAUAGAUAAUUUUUCAUUUUUUUGCCUUCCAAUUUUGGCAUUGGAUAAACAAAAUGGAAUACCAUAAGUGUAGUAAUGAAGGAGUUUAUUACAUUAUGCAUUAUCUUGGUAAGAAGAACCUGAUUUUGUCUUUCUUAUCAUUUUUAACAGAGACUUAAAGAAAGCUCUGUUUACAGUGGCCAUUAUCUUGAAGGGAAUAGCAAAGUAGAUAAGAGAAAGACAGUGGAGAAGACACAUAAAUAAAGUAAUGAGCAGAGCUACUGAUAGGCAGAGAUUCUAAAGACCUAGAAGUUGUGCAUGUGGUCCUGACUCCAUAAUUCAGAUGCCCUCUGAGGGGAGGAGCACAGCCAGCACAUCUCCUGAGGUGAGAUCCUUACCUUCAGGAGCAGCCUAUCUUAGUCUCCUGUGCUGCAAUUGGGGAACAAUCCUGCAGCAGUGACAUCAUGGUUUUCUUCAGGUUUUGUGUGUGCAUCAAAACAGAAGCAAGUCAUAUGCCUACUGGCCCAUACAAGCACACCCCUGCUUAUGUUUUAAGGCACUCAUAAAACACUGUGCUCCAAAUAGGAUGUUUUAUAUCACAUGGCAGUAGCAGGAUCAAAUAAGAUCCUUAAUUUUGAUCCAAAAGUCCCAACUAUAAUUCUAUGUAGGAUGCACUGAACAUAUGAGAAGAUUCAAUCUUUGUAAAUAUUGUUAAAUAUGAUUUCAGCCAUUUGAAUACAAUCUAAAGGCAAAGAAUACAUUUAAGAGGGUAGUGAUUUCCAAAUGCAUUUACUUUCAGUGCAAUUAAUGCAAGAAGUGACUUAAUGGAAAUGCUUUAACUCAAGUUACACAAUUACAAAGAUAUAUUUCCAUCUGCAUCUAUAGUGAUCAGCUCUUCACACUAAUAGGCAAUACUAUAUGUGAUGUCUCACUACUGUCAUUUCCAUCUCUCAUCCCAGUUCCUUUAUUUUUUAAAUCUUUAAUGGAACUGCCUCCUCCUCUUCCUCUUUCUCAACUAUCACAUGCCAUAGUUUUGCAAUGAUGACUGCUCCAUUACCCAGAAGUUGUAAUGCUGAAAAAAAUGUCUCCUCAAAUCAGAUCUUUCAAAUGAAGAGGUCAUGACUUAGCGAUGGAAUUCAAGAUUCCACAUCUGUUUUCCAUAGUCCACAAACUUAACUGGAAAAUAAAAAACCCUCAGUGCUACUAACACAUUUCUUUUACAGUAAUUGCAGAUAGGAGAAAUAGGCCCAUGGAUAUAGCUCAGUGUCACAAGUGCCUGCCUGGCAAUUGCGAGGUUGUGAGUUUGAUCUUGGAGCAAAAAUAAAUUAAUAAAUAAAAAUUUAGGAAAAUUAAUUAAUUAAAAUGAUUAUUUUCUGCAGCUGUACAUACAGAAUGCCUCUCUUUUUGAAAAAAAAUUGGAGAAAUUAUGCUUUUGGAAAUGAAUAAAAAAUUAAAACAGGAAAAUGACAUACCUGAAAUAUUGUUUCAUGCUAUUUUGUGUGAAUAAAUACAAGAAAAAACAAAACUCCACUAUAACGGAAUUCCAUUAUAACGGAAUUAUAUUUCCGUUAUAACGGAAUUCCAUUCCGUUCCAAUUCCAUUAUAACGGAAUUAUAUUUCAGGAAAUAUAAGUUAAGGCAAGUCUUUGGUAUUAAUAAAUGACUUUAUAGAGAAGGUUUAGACCUGAAUUUUUAGGACAAACAAUGUCAUUCUAGAGACAUCUGGCACAUUUACAUAGUGAAUUUGAGAUAAGAAUUAAGAUUCUUUUAUCUUGGAUACAGGUGACUUUUCCAUGUCAUUUCAUCUUCUGAUAGCAUGUCAGUCACUCAAAAUAUCAGAGCCAUUUCAAUUAAGGAUUGAAAAUUAGAAAUUCUAUUUAAAAAUUAUACACUUUACUAUUAUUCUAAUAUGUGAUCAUAUGUAAAAUCAUAUGUGCUUACAAUGUUUUCUAGCUUAUCCAUUCAGAGAUUAAAUUUAUUUUCUCCUGCUUCAAACUUGAGCUGAUCUUACAAUUUGUUUAUACCUACAUAAUGUGAUAAUAAUGAUACUGGUUCAUUUGGGUAUGGUGCACUGACCUAUAAUCUCAAAUCUUAUGAAACUGAGAUAAGAGGAUUUGAGCUCUAGGCCAGUCUAACUGUAUAAUGAUAUCUUGUCUCAAAAACAAAUGCAGUGCCUUUCCUGUGAGCAUGUAGCAGCUGUGCAGGGCUGGGAAGGGAAACAAGCAGAUAGUUCACCCUUCUCAUGAGCCAACUGGCACAGGGGCUGGGAGAGAAGAGGAUAGCCACUCUUAUCCCCUUAAGGAACCAGCCGAUUCAGAGGAUCACAGACUGAGUGGAUAGCAACUGAGGUACAAAAAUAACUUAAUUCUUGCAUUGUGUGAUUGACUUUGAAGGCCUGAUGUUGGUAGUCUGAGCAUCUAUGUAGAGGAUAACAAUACGCAGUAUAACAACUAAGGAAAAUUUUCUUCUUGUUUUUGAAAAUCCAAUAUUUUUUCUCAUUGCUUUGUUUUGUUCCAUUUUAUUGUUUUCUUGCUUUCUUCAAUGUUCUGUUUUGAUUUGCUUUAUUCUGUUCUGUUUUGUUUGAUUUUGUUACGUCUGAUGGUAUGUGCAGCAAUUUUUAAGAUAAGAGGAAUUAUGGUAACCAUUGUUGACUUCCUAUUAUCAUAUUUUGAAGUUCUGUGUCAUUUUCACUGUUUUGCUUUUAUUGUUUUACUUUGUUUGAUUUUAUUCUCUUUAAAAUAAAAUUUUAAAAAAUCAACAAAUAUAAGAUAUUGUUUGAUUUUCAUAUAAAGAUUAUACUUGGAGCUAUGACUUUUUCUCGUUAAACCAUGAUUAUCAAGCUCUGAAUAGGACUGAGAUGAAAGAUCAUGUGGAGAGGCAGGCCUAGUAAUCCCAGCCAUUGUGGCGAUCCUGGCUGAGACCCCCAGGGCCACCAGAGAGUCCAUUCCAGUCCUCCUUCAGCCAAGCCAUCAACUGGUUGAAUUUGUCUGAGCAAACUCAGAUGAUUCCAAGUGAACUGUCCAUUCAACUUGUAUAAUGAUGAAAGAAACAUAAACUGUUGCUGUUUUAACCCAUUUCUCAUUUAGAAGGAUUUUUCACAGCAACAUUUAAAUCAAAAUUAUUUUCAAAAUUAAUCUCAUUAAUAAGCAAAAUAUACUGAAACACAGAAAAUAUAGGAAUGGAUUAUGAAAAGACAUUCUAUAGAUACAAUAUUGACAUUCACUAGUUUCAUAAGCCAUUUUCUUAUAGAUUAGAAAAGAGAUAUGCAUGCCAUUGAAAUGCAGUUUGAAGAAGAUUUUGACAGAAAGGUUCAAUGAAAAAGAAAAUAUAGAAUUACACAGAGCAUGCAUAUUCAUAUGCUUGCCACAACAUAAAUGUAUAGCUAGCUAUUUUCUAACUUAUUUAAAUAUAGGAUGUUUUGACAGAUGUGACAGACAUGUAGACAAAUUACAUAUAUAUAUAUAUAUAUAUAUAUAUAUAUAUAUAUAUAUAUAUCAGGUUUUUUUUAAAGGCAGUGUGAUAUAUGCCUAUUUGGUGCAUUUCAUUAUUUUUUUAGUUACAGCUUACCCAAAGAACAACUACAUCUCAUUUUUAAAAUAGGCAAACCAUUUUGCUUACUUGUUAACCUCUGACAGUGCAAAGUAAAACGAUUCAUUAAAUACAUAGUCUAUGAUUAUUUAUGAGAUGCUAACUAGAUACAUGAUGUGCUAAUUAUUAAGAAAAUGCACAUUUGGAACAUCUCCAGGUGCCUCUCUAAUUCUUCUUUUUCCCCCAGGUGUAGUUGCUCUCCUCUGAAGGAACAUUAGGGCAUUAGACCAUCUCUGCACUGCAGUAAAAGAAAUUCAAAAAUAAAGCUAAAAACUGUUACAUGUUUUAGUUUUAUAAUAGUAAUAAAAAUAAGGAAAUGAGCCAGGGGUUUAGCUCAGCAUUGCAAGUGCCUAACUGAUAAGCGUGAGGUCAUCAGUUAGAUCCCCAGUAGCAAAAAAAAAAGACAAGAAAAUUAACGUAUAAUAAUUUUUGAUGCAAUGACUCCCACUAUGCAUAACAUGACAUCGAUAUACAGAGACAGAAGAAAAAGCUUAGCAGAAAGACAGGAAGGUAUUAUGUCAAAAUAGUAUUUCAAACAGAACAAUUAAUUUCUUAAAAUAUCAUCUUUCUCUUUUUUGUUACAUUUCAAAAUUUUAAAUAGAAAUAGACAUUUUUAAUUUAUAAGAAUUUAUUUCAUGAGUCAAGAAAAUUGUACUUAAGUUGCUUAAAAGUUUUGCACAAAAAUAUGCAAUUUAUUAUGGAUGUUAGCAACAAUACAAAUUCUUUCAUUGAUUAUUUGUAAUGCACAUGAGACAUAGGUGAAGUAUUUAUCAUCUCAUAUGGGUAUCUAAAUCCUAUCAGUUUGGUAAAAUAUCACUUCGUGGUCAGUUCACCCACAUCUACCCUUGAUCUCCUCCAACCAUUUCCAUGACUGAUACUUCUAAAACAAACUUCUGAUCAUGCAUUCUUUGUCCUUAUUUAAAAUGCUUGAUUACUUCUCAUUAUUUUAAGAAUAAAGGCAAGAAUUUUUGAAUGUAUCCUCUAGGGUUAUAUUAGGUCUGUUUUCUGCAUGGCUCCUGAGCCUUAACUUUUAUGGUGUGCUCCUUGAUUUCUGAAUUCUACCCUUAUCGCCUCCUUCAUUUCUGCAGACAUUGCAGUGUUCCAUGAUACGCCUCCAACUUUUUCCCUCCAACUGGAAUUGUCUUCAUUUGACUUUGUCUAGCAAAUACUUAUUCAUAUUUCCAAACUGAAGUUUUUACUUUCCAAAAUCAACCACCUUCGAAUUUUCUAACCUUCUAAAAUUCAUGUUACAGACACUUAUAACCCUUGUAGACUUUAUUUUUCUGACCUUUAUUUGUCAGUUUUCCAUAGCAACAUUGAGAGCAAGAUGUAGCUGUGUCUCACAGACUUGUCGCCUGCACUCAUGGGCAGGCUUCACUGUUCUCAGCAUCUGUAUUUCAGCUUUUACUCAACAUUCUGGUGGAGAAAUACAUACUUCCUUAUUCUGUAGUAGAGCUUGUGACAUGACUGAGAAACAAACCAGUGUACACCAAGAUAUUUAUGUUCAUCCUUCUUGGAUGAUAAAUGAAGAAUAACUGAAAUAAUAGAAUUUGGCAGCAAUCUCAAGAAACAUGGUACGUAUGAUCUUGAUUUAGGUCAGUGAUCUCAUUUCUAUAUAUUCUUUUUCCUUAGCCUUGAAUACAGUUUUUAAUUGAAAAUGAGAAUAACUGUGAAAACAAGGGAACUAGCUCUAUAUGUGUUUAUCUUAGGAACAUUUUGAAAGUCAUCUUUAGUUCACAUAAAAAUUUUAGUAAGAAAGACAUUUUUAUUUCCAUCAUUUUACUAAUGAACCUAAGAGACAGUAGCUUGUUUGCUCACAGUUAUACAACUAUGAGGAGAUUUUAAUAGAAAGGAACCAAGCUGAUUAACGGCAUGUUUCUGUCACUUAUAUCUUAAUUUUUAUGGGUAAUCUCUGUAUCUAAUUAGGCAGGAUGCUGUAAAAAUAAGUAGAUGAAAUUAAGAAUAGUUCAUCAAGUAGAUGAGUCUGUUAGUGGAAUGGUCUGCCUUCCUUUGAAAUAAUCUAUACAUAGAAAUGACUUUUAAAAAUUAGGGGACUCUUUUUCAAACUCUGAGAAACGUAGUGCCUUACUAGAGAUUCAGAAAAAAAGGAUGAAUAAAAUGUGUUCAACUAGAUUAAUGGUGAUACUCUCUAAAAGACUUAGUUGCUGCAUAUAAAAUAAAGGACAAAAUGAAACAGGGAGAGAGACAAAGGAGGAAUCAUAGAAAUGUUAGAAUUCUAUGAAAUCUGAGAAAUACUGUAUCAUAUAUAUAUAUAUAUAUAUAUAUAUAUAUAUUCCAUUUAACAUAUAAAACUAUAUACCUAAUUGAUUAUUAGUUUGUGUAUAUCAGUAACAGUAAAAUACUUAGGGAGAAUUAAAUUUUUUUGAAAAUUAAAUAUUUUAAAGAGGUUACUGAAUAAUUCAUUCAGAACUUAACCUAAUAAGAGAAAGAACUAUUUUUAAAGCACAAAGUUAAGAAUAAUAGAAGACAAACUGAAAAUUCUGAAUCUUUCCUGGCAGGUUUUUCAGAAACAGAAAAAAUGAGAGGAGAAUAGGGAAAGGCAUUUAAAGUAGAAUUUAAAUUGCUGUUUCUAUAAUUGAUGGAAGAUAUUGUUUUUUAGCUUAAAGUGCUUCACAGAAUCCCAAAUAGGAUAAAUAAAAAAGGUUAAAAAGUGAAAGGGUUGCUGGCCCAGACCGGAUACUGUAGCCCAUAAAGCCAAGGAGCUCCUAUCUCCCCCCACCCUUAGGAAUUACCUCUGGCACCAAACUAAGACCAAUGGGCUACCUGUGCAUCCCUAAUGCCCCCUUGGGUUCUACCCCAGGCUGAGGCUACUUAUGUGCCUCACUCCACGUGUUCCACGGAGGGAUCGCCGGCCUGGGGUGGAGAUGCCACCCCCCAGGCGUUCGGGGGUGUCUCUCCCCGCAUUCCCAAAAUAAAGGUUACUUAUAUUUUAUACUUCUUAUCUUUUCAGCCGCCACCAGUCCUCUUCCUCUUCCUCCCCUCCACAGUUCUAUAGCAACCCUUUCAAAAAACAGAAUGACAAAUUUUAAAAAGAAUAAAAGUAGGAUCAAAAAAGAACUAUUCAACACAGACCUUACUGAUUUUAGAUUCGAAAUAAAACCUAAGAUCUAUAGUAAAUAAAUUACAGAUAAUCACCAAGUAAAGUGGACUGACAGUAGUAUCAACAGUAAAUAUUAUCGCCAGAGAAUUGAGGAAGCGAUAUUAAGUUCCAGUUUAUUUUAUCUUUCAUUGCACUUUCAGAUUAAGUACAAGUGGUCCAUCCAGGGACUUGAAAAAUAAAGCAACAUUUAAAUGUUGCACUUGAAUAAGAAUGCAACAAAAAUUCAGGAGGAAGUGGGUGAAGAUUGGAAAAGCUAAUCAGAACUAAAUGGACUAAAACUUUUAUGAAAAAUUAAAGUUCCAUACAAGAAGCUAGAAAUUUUUUGGCUAUAAAAAUAUGCUAAAUUGUAUAACUUACUUGAUUCUGAUUAGAAAUUCUAAAUAUCUGUCUGUUCAGAAAGUUUACAAUUUUGUGCAUGUUAAAGGAGAUAUUUACUAAGUAAUAUGAAAUUAAAUAUUACAUUUAAAACUAUCACUGGAAAUGAUGAAAAUAACACUAAAAAUCUGAAGUUAAUAGAAGAUAAUAAAGAAAAAAAGUGAAAAUAAGAAAUGACAAAUAUAUAUUUCUAGAAUAUUUACUAAGCCCAAAAAAUACAAGCAAUUUAAAAUUGACAUAGUUCUACUAAUAUUCCAUAAGAAUAGUAUCAUUAAUUAGAGCUAGAAAAGAUCAGAUAGGACAUUUGAAAAUCCAGCAGCACCAUGUUAUUGUGUUUCUAAAAGAAAAACUACUGUCAACUAUAUAAGAUGAUUUAAAUAAAAAGCUGGAAAUAUGAUAUUCAUGCAUUUAAUAAAUGUGGCUACUAAGGAGAUACAAACAUAAGAACUGAAGUUCUGAAAAAGCAUUAAAUAGAAAAAUGACAUGCAGCUUCUAUGUUCUUUAUCAAUAAAUUUGUAAUUGAGUCACUGUAAACUCAUAAAAUACAAAUGUUAUUAGCAAUUUAAUGAGUCAAUAUGAAUAAAUAUCCCAUAUAUUACUGAGCAUAAAGGGAAAUGUCAGAGUGUUUUGUUCCUAUUACAUAAAACAUUCAGAAUACCAGAAACAUGUGCGUGUGUAUACCUGAGAUGACUAUUCACCAAAUUUACUACAAUCCUUACCAUAAAGAUUGGACUCGGAUAAAAAUUUCAUUACAGAAUCUUAGAAAUGAAUAAACAAAAAUAAAAGUCUAAUAAAAUAGCAAAUAUAUUUUAAAAUCUCAUUGUGCAGGUGUGUGUGGUGUAGGUGAUGGGAUGAAGGAAAAUUUGCAGUUUGAAUCUUUGGCAUAUGACUCCCUUGAGACUAGGACACCAAGCCAUAAUUAGCAAUCCAGGCCACUAGGCAGAGGAAUGAGGAAAUCAAUAUGCAAAACUCCUUUAUGUAGAAGUUUCAACUCUCAGAGGCAGUGACUUGAGCUUUGCAGAGCAUGUUCAGCCCUUUGCUAACCCUCCUUCUGCUCUGAUUAUUCUCCUAGCUCAUUCCCAUCAGUUCCCCUCUUCAGAAGCUCCCUCCUGACAAUUGCACAAACCCACUUUGCAUCUGUCAGGACAGGCUUUAUAAUCAGAAUUCAUGCAAAUGUCACUUCUCAGCCUUUAACACCCAAAGAGAGAUUCUCAUUCUGCAAAUGGGCAAAUAGUGAGACAGCCAGUCCCAGUGUGUUCCUGUUUCAGUAACAAGUGUGUUAAGGGUUAUCUCUAGAUGUCCCCCAAAAGCCUCCUACUUGGAGAUUUGGGAAGAUGAUUGGAACAUGGAGGUAGGGUAUUCAUCUGUAGGUUUUCUCCGACAGGUUUAUGGCUAAAUGUGAUGUGGGUAGGUGAAGCCUGAUCUGAUCCGGUGGGUCACUGGAGGCAUGGCCUAGAAGGUGUAACUCUCCUGUCAGGAUCUCUCUCAUCUUCUUCACCUUCCCUUUCUUCCCUUUCCCCUGUCCUUCCUUUUUGCCUUCCUUUCCCCUCUGCCUCCCUUCCCACUCUUUUCCAGGGCUAAGACAUGAACAAUUUGUUUGCCAAGCCCCUCUGCUAUGCUGCACUGCCUUGGAGCCAGUCAACUCUAGAUAGCAACCUUUAGAAACAGUGAACCAUAGGGGGGGAAAAAUAUUUCCGUCUUUAAGUUGUGUGUGUAUUAAACAUUACAUUCCAGCAACAAGGGAAGUGGAAAGUAGUUAAAAGAAAAUAAUUUUAAUUACUUUUACCUCCCAAACCUUGUUUAUUGCUACUAUUAGCCCUUAAAUCUUCUCACAUAGAUUAUAAACAAAUCAGAGGCCACCUUAUGGAGAUGAUGGCAUCAGUAAUGAGACCAGAUUCUUUUCUAGAAAAAAUUGAGACUGGGCCAUCAAAUCUACCUUAAACCCUGGAUCAACCACUUGGUGGCUACAGCAGAAGCUGCCAAUCUCCCAAAGUGCAGACACUUUGAGAGCCUUACUAACCUGCCUGGUCUGAGUGGUCUUUUACCUAGAUGCAUCUAGUUCUAAGAUCCCUCUUCAUUUUUUGUUUUUCUUCAACCAUUAAUUCUAUUUUCUUUUUUGGUUCUUCUUGCAACAGUACAUUUUCACAAGCUCUGUUCACUGUCUAGGAAGAUUCUCACCCCAAACCUCACCCCACAUAAUCAAGUUAGCCCUAUAGUUCCUUAGAUUACUCUCUUUUACCAUGUUCUCAAGGGAAUCUAUUUUAAUGAACCACAUUUCUUCUAUAGUGGAUUCUCACAGCAACAUAUUUUCCUAACAAUAUAAUGAAACUUCAUUUACUACUACACUUCUUGUACUAAAGGUUAUCUACCAAAUAACAACGGAAAACUAGGAGUGUAUGACAUGCUGCUUAGUUUUGCUUAUUAAUCUCACUGCAUUAAUGCCCUCCUGGAGGUGGCUUGCAAUGUGAGAGCACAAGUGAUUAACGCAUUGAUGAGUUCAUAGCAGGAUGGACCAUUUCAUGGUUGGGCACAGUUGGAGGAAGUGAUCCUGGGGACCUUAGUUCAUCCCUUAUCCAUUCCAUUCUGGCUUUUGUCCAUGCCACUCUGCUUCUGGGCAUCACAAGUCGAGAAGUUUUCCUAUUCAGUGCUCUUUUACCGUGAUACCUCUGCUUUGGGCCAGAUGACCACGUAUUUGCACAUUUGAAAGCAUGUGACAAAACACAGCUAUCAUCGCUGAAGUUGUGGGAUUCAGACAGAAUAUCCCAGUAUUGGAAGAGCUGAAGAAUGUAAUGAUCAUGUGGAUUGUGUGUCCCUUUCUCCAAACUCCACAGUUACUUAAGCCAAAAAUCCAUCUCCUGACUUUUUCCAUGCUUCUCAGACUGAGGAUGUGGGCAUAGUUAGAACCAAAGUUCAAUUCUUACUUCAGAUCUCAGAAUGAUCACAGAUAAAUAAUAACCGGAAUUAAUUCACUCUGGGAAUACCUGACUAAUUUUUUGAAAGUAAAAUUUAAUUUCAAGUCACUUUAUAAUUUUAUAAAAGGUAGCAAAGUAUAGUGGCUUUACAUAUACCUUACCCCCUAGUUUCCCUCCUACCGUGGCUUGGUUUGGAUGAGAUUACCACAAGAGUUAGAGGUCAUUGGGGUCAUAUUUUGAAAGAGGUGUUGGAACACAGAUUUUGUCCUUUGUUCUAUGUCCUGCAUCAUCACUUGUGAUUUACUUUGCCAUAUAUUCCUGCCAGGGUAUACUGUCUUCAUCGGGCCCAAAGACAAGCAGUACUUGUUCUUGAAUUGAAGUCUUCAAAAUCAUGAUCCAAAAUAAUUCUUUUCUAAGUUAAUUGAGUCAGGUAUUUUAUUUCGGUGAUGGAAAGCUUAAACAUUAUCUAUCAUUGUUAUGGCACAUAUGUCAGAGUUAAUGGACUAUCAAAGUUAUUAAUUUAAGUUCAUACUUCAUUAAUAUUUCCUUAGUUUUUACUACUGUCAUUUCCUUUUUUAUUAGUAUUUCAUCCAAUAUACUUGCUUAUGUUUGAUCCUUAUUUUUCUUGAGGUUUUAGCAGAUGUGACAGUUUCUUACUUUUUCUUUAUGAGAAUCUUGAUAAUUUUGAAUUGCUCUGAUUAGGUAUUUUAUACAGUUUUCAAGGAACUUUUGUCUCAUGGUUUUGUAAUCCUCUGAUUGGAGUUACGACUGUCAAGAAGCAAGUCCACAGAGAUAAAGAACAUUCUUACCACUUUAUAUAAUAGGUACAUGAUAUUGAUGUGGUAACUGAUAGGCUGGUUGUUUUAGACUGCAACUAGUCUUUCAUUUUUCCUCUUUUAGUACAUUAUCUACAAGGAGAUCAGUAUGCUGCUCUCACACUUAGGGUGGGCAGAAAGAAGUUUUAGCUAUUUGAGGGCUCAAUAUGUAUGUAAAGUAGUUGUAGUUGAUUUUCAUGAAAAAUUUAUUUCUUCUUCUUUAAUUAUUUAUUCAUAUAGGUAUCAACUCAUGGAAGGUGCUUGUUUUCUAUAUAGAAAAUGAUUAAUUUUUAUUAGAAGUAUCAAUGGAGCUACCUGGGACAUUCAGACAUGUACUCACAGUUAACAUUCCAAACUUCUGUCCAACCCAAAUUUAUCAUAGCCCCCAACUCUGUGUAAGAUAGUCUCAUAGCAUAUUGCAGCAUCAAGACAUACAUAUGUCCCUAGCUCAGAAAACAUAAUUCUUCCCUUUCCUUAUUAACUAUUAUCGUCCACUUUAUUCCUCUUUUCUUGGAUUUUCUAUUAAUGUAAGAAUAAUGUACUGCAAAACUUGAUGGUAAAGGUCAUCUAUGUAUUACAUUCCUUGAUUCAGAUUAUAUAGAUCUAGAAUUCCAUUGGGGUGUAGCAGACAUCAUUGCAUUCUGAUUCUCAGGGUCUGUACUUUAGCUAUGAGGUUCAGGGUUUGGUUUGUAAUUCCACAUUUUCAGAUUGGUAUUGUCUCAAACUUUGUUCACAGACACGUCUAACAAUUCAUACUGGUUGUUUAUUUGGACCUUAGCUAAGUCUGUAGAAAGGUCAACUACAUGUAGCCUCUCCAUGUGUUCUGGAAUUCUUCAAAAUAGUGGCAGAAAUAAAAAUACAGGGGAGGGUUGCUGUUGACAAAGGUAUCACUUUUCAUAACCUGACCUAAAUUGUCACUUAUGAGUGGAGAAAAAAAAAAAAAGUUCUUUAACCAGAGAUGCAACACAGUUAAGAAAUAUUAGAGACUGAUAAAAGACACCCAUAUGACCUUCCCCCAGAGAGUCCUAUCAUGAAAAUAUUAACUUAUUGGUAAGGAAAAAAAGAUCGUGACUCUAUAGUAUUAAUGGCUGUGUGAAAUAAGAUCAGAGUGGAACCAGGAACAUAGAUAGUCCAACCUAGUAAAUUUAUAGCACUCAGAGAUUCAGAUGAAAUUGAUUAGUUUCCCUAACUAGCUGACAAAUAACCCGAAGGAGAGCUUAUUUCAUAUGCUUAGAAAAUUAACAGUGGCUUAUAUAAAUCAUAAGAUGAUUGUAGUAUUUUAUAAGUAGAAAAUUAUUCUACUAUAGGAAUUUUCAUCUUGCUUUGUAAAUUCUGGAUUUUUGCCUUCAUACUAAACCUGAAAAUUCUAAAGAGCCAUAUAUGUCAAUAGUAAUGUUCACUAUUACUUGUGAUCCUACUAAAAUCAAAUUGACUUAUAAGAACUUUUAAGAAUUUCCAAAUGCUGAACCUCUGCAAUGCUUGAAAUAGCACACAUAGGUGAAUCUUAAAUAAACUGGGAUUUGCAUGUUAUAGAAAUUUGCACUUUAUAGAAAUUUCUCCUUAAUUUAGACUUAUCUUACAUGUUUGGAAUGUAACUUCACAGAGCUGUUUCUAGAUAUAUUUAUUUUAUACUUUUCCAAUGAUGCUUUAUAAUUUCUUCAUGGUGUAUACUCAAUAUAGCACACAUAAACAGAAAUAGUACACAUGUAUGUUUUUGGUGGAAAGAGACAGAAAGAGAGGAAACUAGUGAGUGUAUCUGCUCAUACCUGUUUGAAACAGUAAAAUAAUUUUCUUAGGGUUUGGUACUGUUUCUCAUUCAUACAAAUCAUUCAAGACACAAGAUUCAAUUUUGUUUGUAACCUGAGUUUUAAUUCUAGAAUAUGACAUAUUCUUUAUUGCUUGUGUGGAUAAAGCUUCACUUUUCAAAAACUAUAUCAAAAUUCUUAUAAAUGAGGAUACUGAUAUUCUAUUAACUGUGAAAUUUUGGCUAUAUCAUAUGGGAAAUUGUUAAAAAUAUUUUAUAUACUUGAAUUGAAGUGCGUUGUUGAUAUGACCUUAAAAUUACUGAUCAAAAAUUGUUUUUAAACUGAGUGCCAUCAGCUCGCGUGUUUUAUUUUUAGUAAACAAAAACUUUCACAAUCUAGUGAAAAAUUUUUGAGCAAUGUUUUCAAAUUCAGUGUGGUUUAUAUUUUGAAAUUAUUCAUAGAUUAAAGUGCUUUUAACCUAUAAAAUAUAUUACCAAUUGCAAAUUUUUCGUAUAUAGCAAACCAGUCAUCUUUUAAAUAUUACUUUAUUUAAAAAUGAAUUUUACCUUCACAUAUUAGAGCAUACAUAUGAAUGAAUGUGUAUGUAUAUUAUCUCCUAGUAUAUGCUAUAUAAAAAUAUCUAUUUAGCACUAAAAAUACCUAGUUAAGAUUAAACAUGCAAUACAUAUUGCACAGCUAGUGGUAUACAUAUUUUUAAAAUAUUUAGUCCUGAAAUGGUUUUAUAAAAAUGAAAUGGAGCUUCUAGGUUUUCAGUCCACCGAGCUUCUUUCAUUCCGCUAAAGAUCACUUUAAUUUGAAAUGUUCAGAAAGUUCAAGCACAUGACAGUGCCACAACAGGAGCAAUUUUAUUGAAAUAGAAAGUGAAGAACAAAAAUAUUCAAUAAUUAUUUCAUUGAUGUGCAGGGAAUGAAUUAUUCAUGGUUACAAAGUAUGUGUGUAUAAUUUUAAUUCUCUGAAUUAAAAGGCUGCUAGACCCACUGAAAGUACAUUGACAAUUUUUAGGGAUCAUCUGCUACCCAGUACUGUAUACCAUCACCACUGUUUAUGUGUAUAUGUGUGUGUUUGUGUGUGUUUGACUUUCUGGGUGAUCAUUAUAUGCUUUGUUGGCCUUUGAUAUAUUGGUUUGAUAGUUAUAAAAAUGGAUCACUGGAGGUGAUAAAGUAAAUUAUUCUUCACUCAAGUGCAUUAUGCAUUUUCUAACAAUCUGUUUGUAGCUAUGACACACAUUCUGAAACAUUAAAACUGCUCCCUGCAAAGAUUUCCUUGGAGAGAGAAUUGCUUAUAUACUUCUGAAUUCUCUUCAAUGACUAAUGGAUAAAAAGUCUCUGUCUGCCACUAAUCAGGUGUAAAACUGUGAAUCUGAAAUGUAGUCACUUAAUGCCCAAAAUGAAUUAGGUGAAAUUAGAUAUGGACUUAAAGAACAUUUCAUUUUUUUCCUGUUGUUCCAUAUCACAUAAAUACGACUGACUACAUUCUCUGUCUUUCCCUCUCUCCCACAUAGUGGUUAUAUGUUUCAAGGGAAUACAAUAUAUACUUUCAAAAUAUUCCUUCAUGCAAGAAAUGAAUAGCUAAAAAAGGAAAAUUGUUUCCUAAUCAUCCUCUACAUCCAUGCAAUAUUCUUCUGUGAUUCAGUUAAAUACAUUGUUGAUAAAUAGUGUUGAAUUAUUGAAAUCUGUUCAUGUCAAAAGGCAAGAAUCCAAUUAUUUCAUUGACAUACCUGCACAAGUUCAUUUACAUAGACAUACAUAAUUGCCUCCCAUAAUUUUUAUGUAUUGGGUGAACUAUUAAGCAGCCCUAAAUUACUACUUGCCUGACAAAAAUAGGGUCAAAUUUGAUUAUAGCCUCUCAUAAUAAAUACAAUGGAGUAUUGGACUCCUCUCAAAAUUAUUGGAAUAAAAAACUUUAGUUUCAGACAUACAUUUACAUGACCUUAAGUAAGUCACUUAAACUUUGCAAUCUCAUUUUCCAGGCAUUAAAAUAAAAUAAACCAGUCAUGGUAGCAAACUCACAAUCCAAGGACGCUAGAAUGGCAAAGAAGGAAGAUUGAAAAUUCAAACAAAGCCUGUGCAAUUUAGGGACUUAGCAAGUCGUUUCUCAAAGUUAAAACUUUAAAAAGACUGAAGAUGUAUCUCAGUAUGCAAUACCUAGAUCCAUUGCCCAGUACCACAAAAUAAGCAAACAAAUAAAUAAAAAUUUUUAAAAAGUAUUUAAUUAUGACCUCCUCAUCCAUUAAAUGGUAUAAUCAUAUUUCAUUGGUAUAAUGGUAUAUAAAUGGUAUAAUCAUAUUUCAUAUUUCAUAUAAUUGAUUCACAUCACACAUUGAUGCUAUUGAAGGGUUUAUAAACCUAUUAGUUAUUUUAUAUUAAAAUGUAGAGAUGCUCACACUUAGAUACAUAUUAUAAAUCGUUUAUUACUAUGUCAUUAGAUGAAGGAAUCAUGGAUUUUUUCCUUUUAUUAUCAUUGAUAUGUGCAAGGUAAUUUUUUUUAAUGAUUGAGAAGUAUCUUCUAUUAAUUAAAUAUAAAUUAAAUUAAGGGUUUUUGGUUAAGAUUUAAGAGCACGCUAAAGGCAAAUUUAUUGUCUUAUAUUCCUGAUCUUUAUAAACAAUAUAAACACAAUACUUAGGAAUUAUCAUACAGAAAUAUCAUGAUUUACCUUAUCACAGCCAUUGUAAUUUUCUGGAAUUAUAAACUCUCUGGUGGCUGCUUUGGCCUCAUAGUUAAUGUUCUCAGGCUUGAGGCUUUAAAACACAGUAAUGAGCACUGUGAAGGUCAGGGAAGGUCAAGGAGCUUUUUUAAUGAAAGUAAUUAAAAACCCAAUUAAUGAUCUACUUUUUAUUACAAGAACAUGGUAAAAAGUUAAAAUCGUAGAAAUGUGAUUUUCACUUCAUGCUAUCCUUUUGAAGCAGAAGAACUAGUUGGAAAAUGUAUUACAAACAUUAUAACCUUAAAUCUCUAAAGUAUAGCCAGUUUACCCUUUGGCAGAUGUGAAGAUAGAAAAUAUUCGAUAUUUCUGCAUAAAUGUUAGAGUUCUUCUUCAUUAAUCUUUAUUAUAAAAUGACUUUUGAAAGGAAAAAAAUACUAAAUGUAAAACAGGUUUUUAAUUUUACUAUUAAUAUUUUAAUUCUAAAGUUUUUCAAUAGCAAAACAUGUGUAAUGCUGAAAAUGUAUUCAAAUAAUUUCAAAUUCCUUAUAUUUAUAUUUAAUGUGGAAAAGGAUGCAUGUUAAAUUACUUUUAACAGAUUAGUUUAUCAAAUCCAUUAUAUUAUAGAUAUUACCAUGCUUGCAUACAAUUAAUGUAGAAUUAUUGAGGUAUUUGACAUUUUUUGAUUUGUUGUUGUAAUAAGUCUUUGAAAUCAAUUGUGUGUUUACGUAUAUAAUUCAUUCCAGUUUGCAUUAGUUAUAUUUUCUUUGUUUACUUUUUAAUUUUAUUGAUAUUCUGUUGAUAGACAUAAGAUCAUAUUUAUUAUAAGGAAUUUGUACCUGUACUAAUACACAUCUUCAUUCUUUCUUUUCCCAUCCUUACUUUCAACCUUCCUUCCCUUCCCUUUGUUUCCAUUUUUUCCUUCUAUUCUCUUUUUUCUGCUUUGUCUUCCUGCUUUUCUCUUUUUUCCCUUUUUGCUCUACUUCCUAUUUGAACAUUUUCUUACCACUUGCUAAUAUCUUCAUCCAAUUUGGCUUUAUUUUUGUUGUUUCUUGAGACACAAUCUUGCUAUACAGCAUGAUGUGGCCUGGAACUUGCACCAGUUCUCCUGUCUCAGCCUACCGAGUGCUGGGUUUACAAACACAUAUCACCAGGCUUACAUUAGUGAUGUUUUAUGUACACGAUAGUCAACUCUAUCUCAAGACUUCGUACACUUCAGUGUACACUGGUACACUGUGAGGACAGCAGCAAAUGACCUGAAACUGACAUUCUUAUAUUGUUUAUCCAGAUUUAAAAGAUUUUCAUUCUUCAAAGAAAAAUACGUUAAAAAAAAAAAAAGACAACAGAAUGAACAGAUUCAAGUGAAGCUGACUGCCUUGCCCACUUUUGUCUGCAAGACACAACAAACUAAAUUUUCAUUUCAGCUCCCAUGGAGUGAAUCAGCACUGGGACAUUCACAUAUCAUUCUAAUUUUUAUGAUUCACUCAAGAUUUGGUUUUCUUGUUUGUUUUAAAUUUUAGGUUUUGGCAUUAUUUUGUCAGGUCUGCACUAAGAAAGCGGUUAUUAAAAGAAGCAGGACCUCUUCUCUUCCAAAAAUUUACUUAUCUAAACUUAAAGUUUCAAUAUGCUACAAAUUUCAGUAGCUCAUUUAGCAGUUGACAUGUGUGAUAGAUGUCAUACUUUGUUAUCAUCUCUCUGAAGUCUACAAUACUUCUCGACCUGUCCUGUGUGAAGGAUACUAUUCAGUAGCACCUGACCUAAGAAAGCUCCAGAAGAAAGUCUGACGAUGGAAAAAAAUUUGAUUCUUGAAACUUUGUCUUGGCAGAGAGUUAGAGCUCUUGCCGAACACCUUUGCAAGCUGCAUUGUCUGUCUUAUUUAUGGCAUUUUGUUCACAUGGAUAUAUCAUUGCCAAACAGAAAGAUGGCUCUCUAGCCAGGUAUGGUGGUGGGAGAUUGCUUUCUGCUGCACAGGAUGUGAGGAAGAAGAAUCACAGGUGCUCAAGAGUUAAGGACCAGCCUGGGAAACAGAGCAACAAAACAAAACUGUAACACACAUACGCAGAGAGUGGUCAUGUGUUGGCAGUUAGGAGACUGAUGAGGGCAAUUCUACUUACCGGCAGUGCCCACCUCAACAUUUAUUAGGAAGGCUCUGGACUUUCUUCUUGCCAAUCAUCCCUCAAAACAGUGAUAAACCCCAUUUACUAGUUCUUAACCACCAAAGCAAACCUUGUUUUCAGAGAAGCAACAGGACAAAUUGUCUGCAAAUCGAUUGCGUCGCAAUAAAAUAAUCAGUAUUCUGAAUAAUAAUAGCAAUUUAGUACUUUGAUAAUCACAUGUCUAGAUUAAAACAAAAUCUGUUUCAAGGAUGGCUACUGGGUGUCAGGGAUUUGGUUCAAUGGUGUAAGUGCCUGACUGGCAAAUGCUAGGUCAUGAGUUCAAUUAAUGGUUCAAAAAAAAAAAAAAAAAAAAAAAAAAAGGAUGGCUACUUGAUUACAUGCUCUUCUAAAUAUAAGUUUUUGAGUUCCUUGUGUGAAUACCUAUCAUGCUAUUGUUCAUGAUACUUUCACCCCUGUAUCUAUCUCUGUUCUAUAAGAAAUCUACUAUUACUAUCUCUUUUAAUAAAAAAAAAAAAAAAAAAAAAAAAAACUCUAUAAGCAUGGUGGUGUUAAGUAAAGUGACAACUUCCUUGUGAAGAUUUUGUAAACAAUGAUACUUUCUUCCCACAAUAUAUUAUUACUACUUCUUUAAUGGAUCUUAGCUAGAAUUCAAGCUCAAGGUAAAACUGGGCACUUGGAAUUUAAACAUUUUUAAUUCCUUUACUAGGAAAAAAAAAUAUUUUCUCGAGUUGAGAUUUAUCACAUUGUUCAAUAUGGUCACCAGUGAGCAAGGACAUUACAGACAGGGAUUAUGUGUCUCACUGACUCCCUGACAUUCUUUUGAAUUGAAGGAAGGAAAGGGGAAUGUAAGUACAAUGUCCUCUGAGCUUUCCAUCUCCUGUGUGUCCAAUUCACAAAAAACAUUUUAAGAAUUAAGCUUGUAGUAGAAAAAAAGUUGUUUAAAAAGAUACAAAAAUCUCUUGACAAAAGGAAAAGAAGAAAAUCUCUUGUUUAGAGAACACUAUCUAAAUUAUUUCAUCAAAUAAUCAGUACAUAAAAUAAAGUGUCCCAAAAAGGGAAUUGUGGAUAAUGCAUUUGGUUAAAUGUAUGGCGUCGUUUUUACUUAAAGUCACACUUUUUAAAAAUUUACUCAAAUUUAGAUGUUUAUGCAAAAGUCAGUCAGUCAUCUUGCUGCCUUGCCUUUAAAUAAACACAUGAAAAUGGUCAAAGGUCAAGAGUGGGUGGCAAUACGUAAUCAACCUGGAAGUUUUUUGUCAUUGACCUUAUAAUUAGAAUGGCUCUGAUAUGUUUUUAAGGAAGAGAGCAUACUACUGAUGCUUUCUGUCCAAAGCACUUGCAUUAACAUUCUCAGGUUUUCCAGCCUCCUGUAGGAUAUCCGUCAUUUUAUAUACUCCAGUUUGUAAUUAGUUUCUUCAUCUUGAUACCUGACUUACAUUUUUCAGGGUCCCGGAGUCCCACAUGGAUUACACAAAAUUGUCUUUACUCUUGUUGGAAACAACAGAAUGGGUUACAAGAAUUGUGAAAAAUAUAGUGUCUUUGUUCACAUUCAAUACCAUAGUGUCCUUUCUCUUGAUAAAUGAAUAUAGUUCUUUUCUAAUUCCUCGUGGCUUUAUUAGAAAUGAUCCUUUCAUAAUAAAGAUCUGCAUUCCUGUAUGUGCUGGUCUAGCUAUCCUGAUUUUCAAUAAAAGCAAACAAAAUACUUUACAAA